GUCCGGCCCUGCCUGGAGAUAAUUAAGUUACCACAGCUACUUAAGCCAAUUAUCUGCAGGAUAGAGGAGAAGACAGACCGUCCGCACAGCCUAAAUCUGUGGAACUAUUUUGGGCAUGAAAGCCAUGCUUGAGGUUGGUCAAAUGUGACUUCCAUAAAACUUUUGAACACCUGCUCAGAUCUGGGUGAUUUUUGGAUAUGUUGUUCACCCAGAUCAGGGCUAUCCGGGGAUGUAG